UAUUCUUACGCUGUAUUUCUUAUGAUAAAAACCACUCAGGUUGCACUGCAGACAUGACACGAGGGCAGGCAGGAGGGAAGGCGGUGACAAUAGAGGAGAGGGAACACCUGGAAGGAAUUACAGGAGCUGCAACCGAGAGAACUUGGUGAAGAAGCGGGUGGUGCACCAGAAUGAGAGGAAGAUAGUAAGGCCCCCUCGUUCCUGAGUUGGUACAACAGUGGACUUUGGAAAUUCUUUUAAUUAAGAAAAUUGUUUUUAUCACAUUUAAAAAAAUAACCCUGUGGUCUUGGUCUUUCUCAUCCCAUGGAAUCUUGAGCAAUUCAGUCCCUUUUUUUCUCUUAAAAAAAAAAAAAAAAAGAUUUAAGUCCCGACUGGAAGGCCAAAUUCGUCUCCCGUGGUUUCUGUUUCAUCCAGAGUCUGGGGCUUAUUAGGUAAACUUUGUCGAGUAGACGAAAAUCAGCGUUCGUACCCUGGAUCCUGUCCAAAGGAUCAGAGUAUCGGGUAAAUUCCUGUUCCCGAUGUCUGUGUCCCUUCUCUUGCAGGGUCCAAGUCCAGAGCUGCACAUGGCUGGUCUCUGUGCACAUACAGUAGGUUUCCAAGAAAUGAAACAAAGAAGUGGUCGUGAACGUCGACAGCAGGAGGAAAGAGAACACUGAUCUUUUCCUUCCCGCCCCUCAACACCGGGUCAGUCUGUAACGGGCAACGGGCGGCUGACACCGGGAGACCAGGGACGUUCCUGGCCCACCUGGCCCCUGACGGCCAGGAUCGGGGGUGGCUGUGGAGAGAUUCGUGGCUGAGACAGACGGAGCUCGGCGCGCACCGCCCGCGGGAGCCGGAGGGCCUCGGUCACGGGCUGACCCCCCGGGAGGGACACUUCAGGGAACUGCGGUGCUUCCAGGCUGCCGGGCGGCCCACGGCGCUGGGGCAGUCCUGCUCCCGUGGCCCGUGUAGUAUUUUAACAGGAAACUUUGGAACUGAUGUCACACGUUGCCUGCACCGCCAAAAAUUCGGGAAAUCGCUGGACGAGUUUUGGGAUAAAAAGGCAGCGUGUGUGUGUGUCGGAAAAUGGAGCACGUGGAAUCGCACCUCUGGUCCCACCUCUGCGACGAUGAGGGGAACAAGCUGCUCACCGAAGCCCGGCCCCGGCACGCACGGCCUGCGGCGUCUGAACCCUCGAGGCAUUGACCCAACUUUCAACCCCACGGGCUCCUUCGGCUGUUUCCUGGAUUACCUGUGUGUUCUAAAUAAGGCUCACUUUUUCAAGCUGCAGAACGAAGAGCAAACUCAAAUAUUUUCCCAUUAAUAAAACACUCUGAGGCAGAAAGCAUCGGCGUAUACGACGGCCACAGCCCUGUCGCUGGACGCGAGCAUUUACAGAGCGCGAGUGGGGGAGCCUUUGGCUGGGCGGUGGGGCGGAGGCUCACUCUCCGUACAGGGUUUCCCACACGGAUCUGCCCUAAGACAAAGUGACUGCCUAGACUUUACUUCCCUGAUGACAAACACGCUUCGUUAUUUUUGUCGUUUACACCCUGGGAGUACUACUUGAAAAUAGUUCACUUUAAUUUCUCUUAACAAAUAUUUAAUGAGCACCUAUUGCACAUCAGGUACUGUUGCAGGCACCAAGAAACAGCGGGAAAGAAAAUAGAUUUAAAGAGGAAACUCAAGGUUCUGAGGUUCAGGGGCUCCGGGUGGCUCAGUGUCUGAGCGGCUGCCUUGGGCCCAUGGUGUGACCCUAGGGUCCCGGGAUCGAGUCCCACGUCGGGCUCCCUGCUGGGAGCCUGCUCAUCCCUCCGCGUGUGCCUCUGCCUCUCUCUCUGUGUCUCUCAUGAAUAAACAGAUAAAAUCAUAGAAAGAGAGAGCAACUAGCAUUUCUGUAACACUUUUACCGUAUUCGAAGACAUUUGGUAGCUAUCACUGCAUUUUCUUUUUUACCAUAGUCCGAGGGGUGAGGGGGGCGGGCGGCACAGAGGAAGGCACAGAGGGUUUAAAUAAUUCCCCCAAGGUUUACUUCUUUAAUUGAUAAAAACAUUCUUCUAAUUCCAGGCCCAUCAGUUCCUCUUGAUUACCUUUCAUCCUCUAGCCGAUUAUCUUUCCCUAGAUAUUUGAGAAUCACUGAAUGAGCGGCAGCGUGGCCUAGGCUCUGUAGCUGGAUUGUCAAGAGAGCAAAUCCUUCCUGACACUUGGGUGGUUGAAUAACAAACCGCCUACAAUUCAGUGGAGUAAACAAUAGCCGACGAUUGUUUCCCACUUGUCGGUGGGUUGCCCUGACCCGAGCCGGGCUGUGCUUGCAUCCGCAGGUUGGUUUGGGUCGGCUCCACCGGCCCUUCAUCCUCCAAGUGCUGAUGCGCUCUCCAGGGGCGCCCAUUUCACUGUGACGGCAGAGGGCGAGAGGACGAGCCAUCCUUGCAUGCGGGCUCUGAGCCUCUGCGUGUAUUUGCCUGUUAGCAUCCCGCCGGUCAAAGCAGAUCACCCGGCCCAACCCGAGCCUUCCCAAGGGAGGAGACGGGGGGUACAGUCUGUCCAUCCCAGGCCAGAGCCCGUCACGUGACCAAGCUAAGUAUCAACGGGAUGGGGAGGUCAGGGCGGGGGCGGCAGGGUGGGGAGAGACUGAAUUUCUCUGAACGAUCAUCUAAUCUACCGCCGUAGCCCUAAUAUCUCUUACCUGGGCUUCUUUCUGAGGAAAACCGGCCUCACGUUGCUGUGAGAACUCAGCACAGCACUGAAGACGCUUGUCCCGCGUGGGUAAGCAGUCAGCACUCGUGCUCUGUCGGCCUCGGCCCACCUGCCGCCUCUCCGCCCCCGUGUUCUCUCCCACAGCCAUGCCCGGGUCCGGGGAGGCACCUGGGUCUGGCCCAGGACGGUAGGUCUACACUCCAGCGGGGCUGGCUCUCGUGAGCUCGGCAGUGCCUGGCUCAUCCAUAGGGAAGGCCCAUCAGCAAGUCCACCAGGCUUCCUUCUCUUAUUUAAGGCCCAUGUGCUGGCUCAGCUUGUCCGUCCGUAUGAGACCGCUACCUCCCAAAAUACAGGAGAAUGAGGUAAAUAUCCUUAUGUGUUUUUUUUUUCUCUAAAUUUUCUGUUAUAAGCGAAUCUCCUUUUCAAAAGAAGACAGAAGGAAUUGCCAUGGAGAUGACUCAGUCUCAGUGACACCGUCCCGUGAAGCCUUCUCCAACUUGUCUUCCUUCCCCCAUGACCGUCUGCAUUUUCUUCUAAACCUUUACUAUGGCAGCAACUAGGUCCUAUGGGACUUUUAUGUGACUUCUUUUUUCUUUCUUUCGUGUCUCACAAAGCAUGAUCUUCCAGGAAACUGUCUUAUCCUUGCAUCUUUCCUAACACAGCACGUGACACAAGGUAGACGAUCCAUGAAACUUGCUGAGCAGAGAUAGGGUCAGGACAGAAGUGGGACCUCGCGGGAGACCCUGGGGUUUCACCUCCGCCCCACGUUUACAUGAUGUUCCCUGCAGUGAUGAAGGUCUCGGCGACACCGUACUACGUUCUCAUAUGAAUUAAAACGAAGGAGACCAGCAAUAGCCGUUGCUGGUCCGUCUGUGGGGCACCCGAACUUGUACCUCAUUAGGUGAGAGUGUACAAUGGUACAAACGCUUUGAAAACCUGUUUGGCGGUUUCUUUUCCGUUUAGACAUAAAAUCACCACAUGGGCCAGCAGUUCCAUUCCUAAGCACGUCUUUGCCCUGGAGAACUGAGGCCCGUGCCCAUGCAGAGACACGUCGAGGGAUGCUCCGGUCGGCAUUACUCAUCAGCGCCAAAGCUAGAAACCAUCCAAAUAAAUAGGU
rnacentral:lncRNA from 1 species